GUAACAUAAAGAAGCUUGCUUCUUUGAUGACGAGUGGCGGACGGGUGAGUAAUGCUUGGGAAUCUAGCUUAUGGAGGGGGAUAACUACGGGAAACUGUAGCUAAUACCGCGUAGAAUCGGGAGAUGAAAGUGUGGGACCUUCGGGCCACAUGCCAUAGGAUGAGCCCAAGUGGGAUUAGGUAGUUGGUGAGGUAAAGGCUCACCAAGCCGACGAUCUCUAGCUGGUCUGAGAGGAUGACCAGCCACACUGGGACUGAGACACGGCCCAGACUCCUACGGGAGGCAGCAGUGGGGAAUAUUGCGCAAUGGGGGCAACCCUGACGCAGCCAUGCCGCGUGAAUGAAGAAGGCCUUCGGGUUGUAAAGUUCUUUCGGUAGCGAGGAAGGCAUUUAGUUUAAUAGACUAGGUGAUUGACGUUAACUACAGAAGAAGCACCGGCUAACUCCGUGCCAGCAGCCGCGGUAAUACGGAGGGUGCGAGCGUUAAUCGGAAUAACUGGGCGUAAAGGGCACGCAGGCGGUGACUUAAGUGAGGUGUGAAAGCCCCGGGCUUAACCUGGGAAUUGCAUUUCAUACUGGGUCGCUAGAGUACUUUAGGGAGGGGUAGAAUUCCACGUGUAGCGGUGAAUGCGUAGAGAUGUGGAGGAAUACCGAAGGCGAAGGCAGCCCCUUGGGAAUGUACUGACGCU
rnacentral:rRNA from 1 species